AGCGAACGCUGGCGGCAGGCCUAACACAUGCAAGUCGAACGGAUCCUUCGGGAUUAGUGGCGGACGGGUGAGUAACACGUGGGAACGUGCCCUUUGGUUCGGAACAACUCAGGGAAACUUGAGCUAAUACCGGAUGUGCCCUUCGGGGGAAAGAUUUAUCGCCAUUGGAGCGGCCCGCGUCUGAUUAGCUAGUUGGUGAGGUAACGGCCCACCAAGGCGACGAUCAGUAGCUGGUCUGAGAGGAUGAUCAGCCACACUGGGACUGAGACACGGCCCAGACUCCUACGGGAGGCAGCAGUGGGGAAUCUUGCGCAAUGGGCGAAAGCCUGACGCAGCCAUGCCGCGUGAAUGAUGAUGGUCUUAGGAUUGUAAAAUUCUUUCAGCGGGGACGAUAAUGACGGUACCCGCAGAAGAAGCUCCGGCUAACUUCGUG
rnacentral:rRNA from 1 species